AGCGAACGCUGGCGGCAGGCUUAACACAUGCAAGUCGAGCGGGUGUAGCAAUACAUCAGCGGCAGACGGGUGAGUAACGCGUGGGAACGUACCUUUUGGUUCGGAACAACACAGGGAAACUUGUGCUAAUACCGGAUAAGCCCUUACGGGGAAAGAUUUAUCGCCGAAAGAUCGGCCCGCGUCUGAUUAGCUAGUUGGUAGGGUAACGGCCUACCAAGGCGACGAUCAGUAGCUGGUCUGAGAGGAUGAUCAGCCACAUUGGGACUGAGACACGGCCCAAACUCCUACGGGAGGCAGCAGUGGGGAAUAUUGGACAAUGGGGGCAACCCUGAUCCAGCCAUGCCGCGUGAGUGAUGAAGGCCCUAGGGUUGUAAAGCUCUUUUGUGCGGGAAGAUAAUGACGGUACCGCAAGAAUAAGCCCUGGCUAACUUCGUGCCAGCAGCCGCCGUAAGAC
rnacentral:rRNA from 1 species